AUUUAGGUAGCAGUCACAAGAUAAUAGAUGCUGUUAAGUGUAAUGAAGCAUGAAGAUAACAAGAUAAAUGAACCAGAAGCUUUUCAGCUUGAUCACAUCCUCCAGUUCAUAACGUAACCUUCCUACUUUAAAUAUAUAAAGGAAAAUGAGUCUUCCUGUGUUAAAGAGAGGGGCAGGGCUUCAAUGCAAGCUGCACCUGGCGCUGUUAUACUCCCCGUGCCAAGAGUAUUCCUGCUCCUGGGAACCUUCUCUUCAGCUCUGUUUGUACCCAGCCUGAAUGUGUUGUGCUUCCUACAUCUGUCACGACCCUCAGUAGGGAAUGGGGGCAUUUGCUGUGUCUGCUGCUGCAUGCCUGAAGGGUGUUUUUGUUUUGCUCUUUUUUGCAGUAGAACUGCUUUCCAAGCCAGAAAUUGCGGGCAACUCAUCAGUGAAGGCAGAAGGCAACACCAAAUCUGUUUGCAACCUCCUGAAAGGGAAGGCAGACUCAUACUGGUGAAAGAAAACGGGUUGCUGCUGCUGGGGAGCAACCACAUCCAGCUUGAGAACAACACCCUGCGCAUCCUGAGAGCCUUGUUAGACGACACCAGCUACUACGCUUGUGUGGCCCACAACAAAGUCAGCCUGAACGAAACCUCCUUCCUUCUCCAUGUCCAGAUUGAUUGCAGGUUUUUUCCUGAUUCCCAGGAAAAAAAAAAGAAAAGAAGGGGAGUGGGGGGAAAUGGCUCCAAACCACCAGUUUUUGGUGGCAGAUUUUUGCUUGGAGGGAGUGAGGUGGGGAUAAAUUCACUGUGGGUAUGGACAAUGUGGAUUCUCUUCUCCACAGAUGCAGCGAAUGUGGUGUUGCCCACAAUGCUGGCAUGCACUGCCAUGGGCUCACUGUCAGUUUACAGAAGAUGUGACAGCAGCAUUCUGCAGUGGAAAUGGAUACUGACAUGA
ensembl:lncRNA